GACGAACGCUGGCGGCGUGCUUAACACAUGCAAGUCGAACGCUGAAGCUUGGUGCUUGCACUGGGUGGAUGAGUAGCGAACGGGUGAGUAAUACGUGAGUAACCUGCCCUUGACUCUGGGAUAAGCCUGGGAAACUGGGUCUAAUACUGGAUAUGACAUGCCACUGCAUGGUGGUGUGUGGAAAGGGUUUUACUGGUUUUGGAUGGGCUCACGGCCUAUCAGCUUGUUGGUGGGGUAAUGGCCUACCAAGGCGACGACGGGUAGCCGGCCUGAGAGGGUGACCGGCCACACUGGGACUGAGACACGGCCCAGACUCCUACGGGAGGCAGCAGUGGGGAAUAUUGCACAAUGGGCGGAAGCCUGAUGCAGCGACGCCGCGUGAGGGAUGACGGCCUUCGGGUUGUAAACCUCUUUCAGCACGGAAGAAGCGAGAGUGACGGUACGUGCAGAAGAAGCGCCGGCUAACUACGUG
rnacentral:rRNA from 1 species